rnacentral:rRNA from 1 species
GACAGAGGGGGCAAGCGUUGCUCGGAAUUACUGGGCGUAAAGGGCGCGUAGGUGGCCAACUAAGUCAUACGUGAAAUCCCUCGGCUUAACCGGGGAACUGCGUCUGAUACUGGAUGGCUUGAGGUUGGGAGAGGGAUGCGGAAUUCCAGGUGUAGCGGUGAAAUGCGUAGAUAUCUGGAGGAACACCGGUGGCGAAGGCGGCAUCCUGGACCAAUUCUGACACUGAGGAGCGAAAGCCAGGGGAGCAAACGGG